UUACGAAGUCUGACCUCGGUUGUGCGGUAAUUGUUGAGAACUUUAUGGGCAUUUUGAAAGUCAUCUUCUUCCUCAUUCUCGAUCGUUUUCAAACCUGUGUUCUUCCUACUUUCCACAUGGAGGAUGUGGUAGAACAUCAUGUGAAGCAACGAUUGGUGCUCGUCGGCGGUCGUGGAGGAUGUGUCUUCGUCUCAUUGGUAUUUCUCGAUGGCAUGCGGUGGCUGCCAUGAUGUCGUGGACUUCUCCACCAGAGAGUGUCUUUCAUCCCAUUCGAUUACUGUUCCGAUCAACCAUUCAUUUAAAAAAUACCGUCUCCUACUUUCCACAGACCAACUGUUUGACGAAAUUCCGAGCCACCUUUCGACCAACAAUUUUCUCUAAUUCUUUCGUGAAACAGUCUUGUUCCUCGUGAAUACCACUAGUGACCAUUGGUGGCUGGUUGUGAUUUAUGUACGCAAGAAGGUAUUUCAAAUUUUGAACUCUCUAGAGUGGGUCUCUAUCAAGUAUCCAAGCAUGCUUCAUAAUUGGCGGCUAGGUAUACAAUGCUAUAUGAAUAUGAUAGUUGAAUGUUCACAUGAUUUGGGGGUUGUAAUGGCUGAUUUGGAUGUUACAUCAUGGCCUUUUGAUGUGAUUGAUUCUGUCCCAAAGCAGAUAGAUGGGUAUGUUUGUGUUAAAUAUAUCUUAUGUAUAUGUAUGUAAUAUUUUUGUGAUUUAAGCUUGCAAUUCAUAUAUGGGUUUCAAAGUCUGUAAGUCCGCAUGUGGUGUAUUUACCUUGAUGUACAUGGCCUAUUGGAAUGGCACAUGUUUGAGGCAUUCAUUCUCAUAAGUAGCAAUAUACUAACUAAUAUCUUAUCGAUACCUGCAACUACAUAUGUCGAUACCUUAACACAUGUUGAUAUUAAUGAUAAUAGGAUGAUGUUCCAUAUCUUUGAACCUAUAUACUAGCUGAAUUGAUUUUAUCAGAAUUCAACAGACAAGAUAAGAUCAAAAAUGAUGUAUUUUAAUUGGUCAACCAUGAUGACAGUUGCGUUUCUCAAGUAGAAUUUUGACUUGGCACCUAUAGGCACAUAUGGGCAAUGUAUCAUGUGAAGGGAAAACUCUCUCUUUUUGGCUCGGCGUUUCUAUACUUACAGUUGGAUGAUGCAGGCUGUAUCAGCAUUAUGUUGUCAGUUGUAACAUUUAUUUUAGUACAGGCUGUAUCAGAUUUACUACUGUUGUUUGGCUGUAAUUUAUGUUGUCAGCUGUAACAUUUAUUUUAGUGGUAAUGCUAUGUAAUAUGACAGAGCUUUCCUUGUGUUUCUGUUUUUGCUUAAAAGAAAGCAAUGUUAUGUAAAACAUAAAAUCAGUUUGGCACAGGAAAUCUGUUUGGCACA